rnacentral:rRNA from 1 species
GAUGAACGCUGGCGGCGUGCCUAAUACAUGCAAGUCGAACGGUACUCUUUCGGGAGUACAGUGGCGAACGGGUGAGUAAUACAUAAGGAACCUGCCCUCGGGACCGGGAUAGCUGAUGGAAACGUCAGGUAAUAGCGGAUGUGAGUCAUUAUGGCAUCAUGAUGACUUGAAAGGAUGCAGCAAUGCAUCGCGCGGGGAUAGCCUUAUGGCGCAUUAGCUAGAUGGUGGGGUAACGGCUCACCAUGGCUAUGAUGUCUAGGGGUUCUGAGAGGAAGACCCCCCAACUGGGACUGAGACACGGCCCAGACUCCUACGGGAGGCAGCAGUGAGGAAUAUUGGACAAUGGAUGGAAAUCUGAUCCAGCCAUGCCGCGUGCAGGAAGACGGCCCUAUGGGUUUAAACUGCUUUUAAUUGGGACAAUAAGGUCUACGAGUAGACCGAUGAGAGUACCAUAUGAAU